UAUGAUCAUAUCAUGUUGAAACACCAGUUCUUGUAUGAUCACCAAAGUUCAGCAACAUUGAGCCUGGUUAGUACCAAGAUGGAUGACCACUUGGGAAUACCAGGUACUGUAAG